GACGAACGCUGGCGGCGUGCUUAACACAUGCAAGUCGAACGGAAAGGCCUCUUUCGGGGGGUACUCGAGUGGCGAACGGGUGAGUAACACGUGAGUAACCUGCCCUUGACUUUGGGAUAACUUCAGGAAACUGGGGCUAAUACCGGAUAGGAGCUCCUGCUGCAUGGUGGGGGUUGGAAAGUUUCGGCGGUUGGGGAUGGACUCGCGGCUUAUCAGCUUGUUGGUGGGGUAGUGGCUUACCAAGGCUUUGACGGGUAGCCGGCCGGAGAGGGUGACCGGCCACAUUGGGACUGAGAUACGGCCCAGACUCCUACGGGAGGCAGCAGGGGGGAAUAUUGCACAAUGGGUGGAAGCCUGAUGCAGCAACGCCGUGUGCGGGAUGACGGCCUUCGGGUUGUAAACCGCUUUCGCUCAUGACGAAGCUUUGUGUGACGGUAGUGGGUAAAGAAGCACCGGCUAACUACGUG
rnacentral:rRNA from 1 species